rnacentral:rRNA from 1 species
ACGGGUGAGUAACACGUGAUUUAUCUACCUUCGAGCGGGGAAUAACUGAGGGAAACCUUAGCUAAUACCGCAUAAUACCUACGGGUCAAAGGAGCAAUCCACUUGAAGAGGAGAUCGCGGCCGAUUAGUUAGUUGGCGGGGUAAUGGCCCACCAAGACAAUGAUCGGUAUCCGGCCUGAGAGGGCGCACGGACACACUGGAACUGAAACACGGUCCAGACUCCUACGGGAGGCAGCAGUGGGGAAUUUUGCGCAAUGGGGGAAACCCUGACGCAGCAACGCCGCGUGGAGGAUGAAAUCCCUUGGGAUGUAAACUCCUUUCGAUCGGGACGAUUAUGACGGUACCGGAAGAAGAAGCCCCGGCUAACUUCGUGCCAGCAGCCGCGG